rnacentral:rRNA from 1 species
UACGUAGGAGGCGAGCGUUGUCCGGAUUUACUGGGCGUAAAGCGCGCGCAGGCGGCAGUGCAAGUAAGGUGUGAAAUCUCCCUGCUCAACGGGGAGGGUGCACUUUAGACUGCACAGCUCGAGGUCGGUAGAGGGGGGUGGAAUUGCUGGUGUAGCGGUGAGAUGCGUAGAGAUCAGCAGGAACACCCGUGGCGAAGGCGGCCCCCUGGGCCGUACCUGACGCUGAGGCGCGAAGGCUAGGGGAGCGAACGGG